GCUCUCAGGUGAGGAGGAGGAGCAGCUCUUAGGGUAGGUAGAGCAGCUCUCAGGUGAGGAGGAGCAGCUCUCAGGUGAGGAGGAGGAGCAGCUCUUAGGGUAGGUAGAGCAGCUCUCAGGUGAGGAGGAGCAGCUCUCAGGUGAGGAGGAGGAGCAGCUCUUAGGUAGGUAGAGCAGCUCUCAGGUGAGGAGGAGCAGCUCUCAGGUGAGGAGGAGGAGCAGCUCUCAGGUGAGGAGGAGCAGCUCUCAGGUGAGGAGGAGCAGCUCUCAGGUGAGGAGGAGGAGCAGCUCUUAGGGUAGGUAGAGCAGCUCUCAGGUGAGGAGGAGCAGCUCUCAGGUGAGCGCCUGCGGGACCUGGUCAGGCUCCGCCCACAGACUGCAGGCCAUCGCCAUGUGAGCCUGUAAGGCGAGGAGCAGGGUCCUGAUGCCUGAGUUCACCUGAAGGCUCCGUGUUCAUCCCAGCAGGUAUGUUUCAGGUACAUCCUGAAAUAUGAACGAAAAGCAGAGUUUCAGCUGCUUCAAUGAGAAGUUCUGUUGAUUUAUAUUUGAGCCUGAAUCUAAAGUUACUACUUAAAGUACUGCACGUAUGUACAAAAACACAUGAGGAGUUUAAAUUAAACUGCAACAGUUUAAACGAGUUCAGCUGAGACGAUUAGUCCAUUAAUCAGUUAAUUAAUUAAUGAAUCAGCAGCAGUUUUGAUGUUUGGAGUCGUUUCUCCUGUAAAUCCCUUCCUGGCUGCAGCUCCUCAGAUGUGCAGAUCUGCUGCUUUUCCUCUGAACGACUGUAAUAACUGUGAUGUUUGUUAAUAACGUCGAGCUUCGGACUGUCGGUCCAUCGAUCAAUCGAUCGAUGGACGGAGAAAAGAAUCGGCAGAUGGAUCCAGAAUGAAAAGCAUCAUCAGCUGCAGUCCGAUACAUGAUUGAUUUCAAUUAAUCGACUAAUGGUUUCAGCUCUGUAAUAUAUAUAAUAUACCAAUAUAUAAUGUCGUAUGAUAAACUGAGAAAGACUCAAAACAACAAACUGUGAAAUGUGACCCAUAAUGCCGUGGGGCAACACACACACGCACACACACGCA